rnacentral:rRNA from 1 species
AUACGGAGGGUGCAAGCGUUAUUCGGAAUCACUGGGCGUAAAGGACGCGUAGGCGGGUUGGCAAGUCAGAUGUGAAAUCCUACAGCUUAACUGUAGAACUGCAUUUGAAACUGCUAACCUAGAGUAUGGGAGGGGGAGAUGGAAUUAGUGGUGUAGGGGUACAAUCCGUAGAUAUCACUAGGAAUACCGAAAGCGAAGGCGAUCUCCUGGAACAUAACUGACGCUAAGGCGUGAAAGCGUGGGGAGCAAACAGGAUUAGAAACCCUAGUAGUCC